UUCCCAGCAGUCCAGUGGUUAGGACCCUGCAUUCCUACAGCAGAGGGGCAGGGUUCAAUCCCUGGUUGGCAAA
rnacentral:tRNA from 1 species